UACGUAGGGUGCGAGCGUUGUCCGGAAUUACUGGGCGUAAAGAGCGUGUAGGCGGUCCGGUAAGUCCGCUGUGAAAGUCGGGGGCUCAACCCUCGAAUGCCGGUGGAUACUGUCGGGCUAGAGUGCGGAAGAGGCGAGUGGAAUUCCUGGUGUAGCGGUGGAAUGCGCAGAUAUCAGGAGGAACACCAAUAGCGAAGGCAGCUCGCUGGGACGUUACUGACACUGAGGCGCGAAAGCGUGGGGAGCGAACAGG
rnacentral:rRNA from 1 species